CCUACGGGUGGCUGCAGUGGGGAAUAUUGGACAAUGGGCGAAAGCCUGAUCCAGCCAUGCCGCGUGUGUGAAGAAGGCCUUCGGGUUGUAAAGCACUUUCAGUGGGGAAGAAAGCCUUGGGGCUAAUACCCUCGAGGAAGGACAUCACCCACAGAAGAAGCACCGGCUAACUCCGUGCCAACAGCCGCGGUAAUACGGAGGGUGCGAGCGUUAAUCGGAAUUACUGGGCGUAAAGCGCGCGUAGGCGGUCUGAUAAGCCGGUUGUGAAAGCCCCGGGCUCAACCUGGGAACGGCAUCCGGAACUGUCAGGAUAGAGUGCAGGAGAGGAAGGUAGAAUUCCCGGUGUAGCGGUGAAAUGCGUAGAGAUCGGGAGGAAUACCAGUGGCGAAGGCGGCCUUCUGGACUGACACUGACGCUGAGGUGCGAAAGCGUGGGUAGCAAACAGGAUUAGAUACCCCAGUAGUC
rnacentral:rRNA from 1 species